GGUUCUGUAAUGUUCAACAUAUUAGAUUGCAAAUCUAACGGUGUGGGUUAGACCCCAUCAGAGCUU
rnacentral:tRNA from 1 species